GACGACCCGUCCAAACGUUAUUCGGAUUCACUGGGCUUAAAGGGUGCGCAGGCGGAUAUGUAAGUCAGUGGUGAAAUCUCUAGGCUUAACCUGGAAAUUGCCGUUGAUACUGGGGAUCUUGAGUCCGGGAGAGGUGAGUGGAACUGCGAGUGUAGAGGUGAAAUUCGUAGAUAUUCGCAAGAACACCAGUGGCGAAGGCGGCUCACUGGCCCGGUACUGACGCUGAGGUGCGAAAGCGUGGGGAGCAAACAGG
rnacentral:rRNA from 1 species